rnacentral:rRNA from 1 species
GCACGGGUGAGUAAACGUGGGUAACCUUCCCAGACGUGGUGGAUAACCUGCCGAAAGGCGGGCUAAUACAGCAUAAUCCCUUUGAUCUUCGGGUUGGAGGUGAAAGCAGGCCUCUGUUCACAAGCUUGCGCGUUUGGAUGGGCUCGCGUCCCAUCAGCUAGUUGGUGAGGUAACGGCUCACCAAGGCGACGACGGGUAGCUGGUCUGAGAGGAUGGCCAGCCACACUGGAACUGAGACACGGUCCAGACUCCUACGGGAGGCAGCAGUGGGGAAUCUUGCGCAAUGGACGGAAGUCUGACGCAGCGACGCCGCGUGGGCGACGAAGGCCUUCGGGUUGUAAAGCCCUGUGGGGAGGGACGAACACUUCGGAUUCAAAUAGGGUCCGGAGCUGACGGUACCUCCUUAGCAAGCACCGGCUAACUCUGUGCCAGCAGCCGCGGUAAGACAGAGGGUGCAAACGUUGCUCGGAAUUACUGGGCGUAAAGCGCGUGUAGGCGGUUUCGCAAGUCAGGUGUGAAAGCCCGGGGCUCAACCCCGGAAGUGCACUUGAUACUACGGAGCUUGAGUACUGAAGAGGAGAGCGGAAUUCCCGGUGUAGAGGUGAAAUUCGUAGAUAUCGGGAGGAACACCAGUGGCGAAGGCGGCUCUCUGGGCAGAUACUGACGCUGAGACGCGAAAGCAUGGGGAGCAAACAGGAUUAGAUAUCCUGGUAGUCCAUGCUGUAAACGAUGAGAACUGGGUGUUGUGGGUAUUGACCCCCGCGGUGCCGAAGCCAACGCGUUAAGUUCUCCGCCUGGGAAGUACGGC